GGCGGCCGCCUCCAGGCGCGGUGGCCGAAACUGCCGCCCGCCCGCCCGCGCCGCCGCGCCUCGCUCCGAAACUUGGGCAGGAACUUAUCCCCGUCCUCCCAGCGCGCAGGGACGCCUGUGCUGGGCGCGACAGGUUGUAGACGCGAUCCCGGCAGAUCGCCUUCGCCCCCGAUCCUGGCACAGAUAGGGCUGCUUGCUGCCUUGCUGAUUGGCCAGAACCUGCCUAAACUUGAAAGUUUAGUGUUUCUUCCACAGAGACCCUUAAAUCCAGCCGCUUUUGCCCGAUAGCUGCAGUCUCUCUCCACAGCUUUAUUGGGAUUUUUAUUUUAAGCUGUAUGUAAUGGGAUAUGUGUCAGAGUAAACACAUUUCGAUAGAUGUCUCUGAGAAUGCAAGCUUCAUGAAAUCAGGAUGUUCAGUGAUGUCUCCUUGGUGGCCGAAAUACUGGACUAGCAUGUGCAGAGUGGAUGCCCAGUGUUUCUUAAAUGAAUGUUUCUUUUCAUGUUGCUGUCAUGAAAUAUCCUGACAAAAGCAACUAAAGGAGAAAGGAUUUGGUGUAACUCACAACUCAAGGAACAAGUUGUUGUUAAUUUAUGAGCCAUUGCAGGGGCCCAUAAUGUGUCCAUACACUGAUCUGUGGUGUGACUAUGCUGUCUCCUACUCCGAUCUUUCUGAGCCUGGAAGAAGAUUGAGUCUCCUGUCUAUUGAGAAUGAUGGGCCUGUUUGAGGAAUAUCACUGAAAGAGAGCUGUAAUACAUGCACGGCUCUCAGACGAGACCUGCACAUGGCAGAUUAAACAUGCACUCCACAGAGGUUAAAACUCAGAAGCCUAUGUGGUGGCUAUGCCUUUCAUCUCAAUGCCUUGCAAGUGAAGACAGGAGAAUCAGGAGAUCAAGAUCACCUUCAGCUAUAUAGUAAGUUUGAGGACAGCCUGGGCUACAUGAGACCCUGUCUCAAAAAUGAAAUUAACUCCAAGAAAAAUCAAGAUUUAGAAGGCAUCAGGUCACCUUCAGACACUGCUCUAGCCUGACUACCCAGAGAAGCAAACCAAGGAAGUGAUGGGACAGGAAUAUGUAUCAGUGAGAAACAAGUGUGAGUCAUGAGCAGGAAUUUUGAGUUAAUAGAACUUACCCAGAGGAUUUUAACAGUUACUCGUGAAGGAUGAGGCCAAAUUAAGAGCUGAGGAGGAGCGUGCAGCUGGUGGAAGCAGGGGGCUAACCUUGUCAAACCCACUCAUGCUAGCUGUGUGUCUUGUUACCUUUAAAACUCAUGGCAAGGGAUUAUUGCUGUCUCAUUUUUAAAACAGAGAUUAAUACUUCAUGUUUCAUUUGCCUGUGAGCCCUCUGCUAUUACCUGGCAAGCCAAUUUGAAUUUAGAAAUUUCUGAGUCAAAACGUACUCCUUUUUCUACUCUACUCCCACAGCCCCAUUCUGAGUUCUGUGAGUUAAUGUGCCUUUCGAAUGCUUGGUUAAAAGCUCCUUUCCCUUUCCUUUUCUCCCAUGUGGAGAUUGCUUGUCUCUCCAACUUAACAACCUUUCUCUCUUACUUAAGGGGAGAUAAGUACUUGAGCCCAAUAAAGUUGGUUUCUGCUCAGUUGUAGAAUUCUUACCCAGAGUUCGGUCCUAACACAAACAAACUUCUUCUCUUGAUUGUAAACUGCUAACUUCACACAUUUGUUGAAAUUUUCUUAUUGAUUAACUUGAUAUUAUCCAUUGAGCCAAACUGAUCAGAGGAUUGAGUAGCAUGGAUAUCAACAUGACCUGUGUAUUUCUGCCUCAUGUCCAUGAACCACUGCUUAAUGCUGGAUAUACUGUACCCUAAGGAGAUAGAGUCUUGCUUACAACUUGUCCUGUGUUCUCAAUGAAUAACGAAUGAGCUGCAUUUUCUUCAACUUUGCUCCCUCAGGAGCCUAGAAUUUUCUACUUUCCCAGAUCAUGGCAUUUCCCACCAGACAACAAUCAUAUUGAUAAAUCUAUCCUUUGGCCAACCCAUCCUCUUUCUCUUGAGGCUAGUCCCCAGUCCUUAAACCAUCCUCUACAACCAGGAGCUCAGGCUGUCUGUGAGCCGGGCUCCAUCACCGCACAAAGACAUGGCCCUGUGGUCUGUCAUUAUCAGGAAGAACAAAUCAGAAAGCAUUGAACUUAUGUUCAGUCAAGUCUGAUCACACUGUCUUUCUCUUACUAGUUUAUCAAUCACUUUUAGUUUAAACCAGUUGCCUAGAAACAUUUUUGUUGUUAUUUUGAGGCAGGGUUUCUCUAUGUUUCUCUGGCUGUCCUAGAACAUGCUAUAUAUAUCAGGCUGGUCUCAAACUCACAGAGAUCUGCUUGCCUCUGUCUUUAAUGCUGUUAUGAAAAGUGUUAGCUGGCCUCAGAAACAUUCAUUUAUUGCUCAGUUAUUCUCAUUCAUUUGUUUCUUCUGUUUCUUAAAGGUUCUAAGACUUUGAAUUACAAGAAAGCCAUCAAGGAAGAGACUUUUGUUUUCCUUGCUAAACACAUAAAAAUAAAAUAAAUAUCAAGUGUUUCUCAGUGUUAUUUAUGUUAGUCUUAAAAAUGAAUGAAUGAAUGACUUUUUUUUUAAAAAAAGACAAUCUAAGCAGCAUUUGCAGGCUGUCCUAUGUCACAUGUAGCCCAGCACAGUUUUCCAGAAGAUUCCUAGAGAAUGAAAACAACAGAUAAAAAUCACAAAAUGAAGAAACAGGAGCCACUUGUGGUCAUCCACACUAGCCACAGAGCGAGACAGGCUUCCAGACAGGCUGCAUUGGGCUCCUUUUUCAGUGAAACUAUAAAAGGACAGAAAUAACACAUUUUAUAAAAGUGAUACAAAAAGCUUUUUGUCAUUUACACUAUUAAAGAAAAAAUGAGUUUGCAAAAUCCCAAAAUAAUAAAUACUGCAAAAUCUGUCAAAUCACCAAGUGAAACUCUUCAAGUAGAGUACUCUGUUGGUACAUAGCUAUGGAAAUACAGUUGUGGAGCCUCUCUCCCCAGACAGAUCUCAGCAGAGCCACUGUGUCAGCUCUCCAGUUGAGGAACAGUGGUCCAAAGUUGUUUCUUAACUGGCCUUUUCCUGUUUAGGAUCAUGCAAGCCAUCUGCUAGGACUGUUUUGAACUGGUUCACAAGAUCAAUUGUUAAAUUUUUAUUAUUCUUCUAGAUGAUUUUCUGCUGUGUAAUAUUUUGUGUUCUGACAAAUAAAGCUUGCUUGGAGUCAAGAGGGUAGAGUUAGCCACUAGUUAACCAUAGAGGUCUGGAGGUCUGUAUACAGAGGCACAGUAAGUGAUAAGGCGGGGCAGAGAUAGAAUCAUGGCCCUUUUGGUUGGAGGAUCCAGAGAGGUAGGAAGUGACUGUGGGUGCUCCCUUACUUCUCUGAUCCUUCAGGUUUUAACCGAUAUCUGACUCCUGGUUUUUACUGAUAAGAUUAAUUAGGUUUAUGUUUCAAUUUUCUAAUACAAUGACUAAAAUUAAAAUAAGUCAGGUGCAGAAGUACAUGGCUAUCAUCCCAGGAGGUAGGAAGCAGAGUCAGGAACAUGAAGAGUUAAAAGCCAGCCUUGGCUACAUUAGCAAGUUAGAGACCAACCCAGGUUACAAGAGACCCAUUCUCUGAAAACAAAAAACAGGAAAGAAUAAAUAAAAUUAAAGUACAUAAACUUACAAUUAAUAAGUUACAUAUAAAUGUAACAAACACUGCAAAACCUUCCCUUCAUAAUUAUUUUACUACUCUGUGAGGUUAGCUUGAGUUCACCGUUGGCUGCUCUAUGGGGAAGCGCUUUGAGGACUGUGCUGGAGCAGAAAGCAAAGCUGAAGGUUCUCCAGUUGGGAAAGUUAUCAGGAAAUGCACAGUGAAUUUAAAAGUUUCCACGACGAACGUUUACAUCAGGAGUAUCACCAGAGACUGAACUACCUCCAAGUGUCGGCCCCCAUGCUGCAGCUCGGGAAGAUAGUGCUCCCACUACUGACAAGAUAAAGCCCUGGCAACUCACCUGCUAAUGGAAAAGAAAACAGCAGACAACAUUCAUCUUUGUCAAAUACUUUCUGUCACUUUUAGCUACAUAUUAAGAAUGCAGAAGUUCAGCAAAAGUCAGCAAAAGCAUUAGAAGUCACGGAACAAUGCACAAGAUAUUAUUUUGGGUGCCAUUUGUUGUAUCAAUAAAACACAUUUUAAGUUUA